rnacentral:rRNA from 1 species
AGAGUUUGAUCAUGGCUCAGGAUGAACGCUAGCUACAGGCUUAACACAUGCAAGUCGAGGGGCAGCAUGUUGGUUGCUUGCAACCAAUGAUGGCGACCGGCGCACGGGUGAGUAACGCGUAUCCAACCUACCCUUGUCCAUCGGAUAACCCGUCGAAAGGCGGCCUAACACGAUAUGCGGUUCUCAGCAGGCAUCUAACGAGAACGAAAUGUGAAGGAGAAGGAUGGGGAUGCGUCUGAUUAGCUUGUUGGCGGGUAACGCCCACAAGGCGACGAUCAGUAGGGUUCUGAGAGGAAGGUCCCCCANAUUGGAACUGAGACACGGUCCAAACUCCUACGGGAGCA